AUGAUGAAGAGGAGGGGUUUUAGCCAUAAGUGGAUGGAUAAAGUGGAAUCUCUCAUUUUCAAAGGCUCUGUUGGUGUCAGGGUGAAUGACAGCAACAGUGAGUUCUUUGUCCCUGGCAAAGGUGCCAGACAAGGACAUCCCUUUUCCCCUCUCCUUUUCAAUCUAGUUGCUGAUGUCUUUACUAGGAUUUUAAUUAAAGCCUCUACCAAUAACAAAGUUGAAGGCCUUUUCCCUGUCACAAAUCCCGCAGGCAUCAUUAGCAUGCAAUAUGCAGACGACACUUUGCUCUUUUUG
rnacentral:rRNA from 1 species